GACGAACGCUGGCGGCGUGCUUAAAACAUGCAAGCCGAACGACGAGCGAUGGAAGCUUGUUUCUAUCAAUAUUAGUGGAGAACGGGUGAGUAACGCGUAAUCCACCUGCCAUUCAGAGGGGGACAACAGUUGGAAACGACUGAUAAUACCGCAUAUGAUCUACUCUCGGCAUCGAGGAUAGAUGAAAGGUGGCCUCUACAUGUAAGCUAUCACCGCAGGAGGGGAUCGCGUCUGAUUAGUUAGUUGGGGGGGUAACGGCCAACCAAGGCGAUGAUCAGUAGCCGGUCUUGGAAGAGUGACGGCCACAUUGGGACUGAAACACGGCCCAGACCCCUACGGGAGGCAGCAGUGGGGAAUCUUCCGCAAUGGACGAAAGGCUGACGGAGCAACGCCGCGUGAGUGAUGACGGCCUUCGGGUUGUAAAGCUCUGUUAAUCAGGACGAAAGGCCUUCUUGCGAAUAGGGAGAAGGAUUGACGGUACCGGAAGAGAAAGCCACGGCUAACUACGUG
rnacentral:rRNA from 1 species